UCUUGCCAGUGAACUUUCAACGCCGUUGGUGCUCUCGUUGUAAAACUGUCAGGUUUAAGAUAGUGAAUAUUAGACAAGGUUCGGAUAGAAAUAAAGGAAAAUACACAUGUAAGGAAGAGACGUUAAAAUGCAUGUUUGAACAAGCCCAAGGACAAGAAAAAGAAACUUUUUCCUCCUGGUGCUGAAGAUUAUACCAGCGCAUCUCCAGGCGACCGUCGACCGGCAUGUACCAGUUCGACGUCUGUCAAAGAGACACCAAAUGAUUAGUUACGCCCAGCCUUUCAUGACUAUCUUGUAAAUGCUCCACAGAAACAAGAAAACAAAAAAGCAAGGUCAUCAAGAAAGAAAUUAUUUCAAAAUAUCACUUUAGAAAACAUGACUGAAAAAGUGACACAGCUAUAACCAGGUUUUUUCAAAAAUGACACUCGGCAAAUUUAUACUAUGACUUUUGUAACUUUAUCCAUUUGGUAUGUAACAACACGUUUCCGCUAACAAAUAUUGCUUUGCUAUUGUUUCUGAAUGCUGGACAUGUAACUUUGAUAAAUGGAAGAUUAUCGUAAAUAAAUUCAGCUAACGAUG